rnacentral:lncRNA from 1 species
GCCUUAUUUAUAAUAGUCAGAAGCUGGAAAGAACCCAGAUGCCCUUCAACAGAGAAAUGGAUACAGAAAAUGUGGUACAUCUACACAAUGGAAUAUUACUCAGCUAUCAAAAACAACGACUUUAUGAAAUUCGUAGGCAAAUGGCUGGAACUGGAAAAUAUCAUCCUGAGUGAGCUAACCCAAACACAGAAAGACAUACAUGGUAUGCACUCACUGAUAAGUGGCUAUUAGCCCAAAUGCUUGAAUUACCCUAAAUGCCUAGAACAAAUGAAACUCAAGACAGAUGAUCAAAAUGUGAAUGGUUCACUCCUUCUUUAAAAGGGGAACAAGAAUACCCUUGGCAGGGAAGAGAGAGGC